rnacentral:rRNA from 1 species
UGGGGAAUAUUGCGCAAUGGGCGAAAGCCUGACGCAGCGACGCCGCGUGGGUGAUGAAGGCCUUCGGGUCGUAAAGCCCUGUCGGGAGGGACGAAACCUCGGUGACCUAAUACGUCACCGACCUGACGGUACCUCUUAAGGAAGCACCGGCUAACUCCGUGCCAGCAGCCGCGGUAAUACGGAGGGUGCGAGCGUUGUUCGGAAUUACUGGGCGUAAAGCGUGCGCAGGCGGUUUUGUAAGACAGAUGUGAAAUCCCCGGGCUUAACCUGGGAACUGCACUUGUGACUGCAUGACUAGAGUGCGUCAGAGGGAGGUGGAAUUCCGCGUGUAGCAGUGAAAUGCGUAGAGAUGCGGAGGAACACCGAUGGCGAAGGCAGCCUCCUGGGAUGACACUGGCGCUCAUGCACGAAAGCGUGGGGAGCAAACA